rnacentral:rRNA from 1 species
GACGAACGCUGGCGGCGUGCUUAACACAUGCAAGUCGAGCGGUAAGGCCCUUUCGGGGGUACACGAGCGGCGAACGGGUGAGUAACACGUGGGUGACCUGCCCUCAGCUCUGGGAUAAGCCUGGGAAACUGGGUCUAAUACUGGAUAUGACUCCACGGUGCAUGUCGUGGGGUGGAAAGCCUUGUGCGGCUGAGGAUGGGCCCGCGGCCUAUCAGCUUGUUGGUGGGGUGANGGCCUACCAAGGCGACGACGGGUAGCCGGCCUGAGAGGGCGACCGGCCACACUGGGACUGAGACACGGCCCAGACUCCUACGGGAGGCAGCAGUGGGGAAUAUUGGACAAUGGGCGAAAGCCUGAUCCAGCGAUGCCGCGUGUGUGAAGAAGGCCUGCGGGUUGUAAAGCACUUUCAGUAGGGAAGAAAAGCCGAGUGCCAAUACCACUCGGUCUUGACGUUACCUAAAGAAGAAGCACCGGCU